rnacentral:lncRNA from 1 species
GGACACAGCUCAUAAUUCAGUAGAACACUCGGGCAAGGAAUGAGAGAACCUUCCCAAGCAGAGAAAAUCCAAGAGAACUGCUGAGCUGAAAACAAAGGACAGAAACAUGUAAAGAGCAAGAGAAAAGAAGAUGCGGGCCCUAAUCCCUGGAAAAACUCCAUAGAACUCUUAAGCAAUGGGACCAAAAGGGUCUUAGACAAAGUAAACCCAGGAUCUGCCAGCUGUCGAAGGCUCAGAAAUCCUGAAACAAGUCUCUGAAGUCAGAAUCAGGUCUCUGUCAACAAAAGACUGUCUCUAGAUGAACACAAGACACUGUAAGGCAGCUGUUCUCAAACUGACUCUGGGAUAUCCUUGCCACUUGGGAAUUAUUAUGGAAGAGUUGAAGGAAGGAUUAGAGGCCCCUAGUCAUGGGAACUCCACAGGAAGACCAACAGACUCAAACAACCUGGACCCUUGGGGCUCUCAG